UACGUAGGGUGCAAGCGUUGUCCGGAAUUAUUGGGCGUAAAGAGCUCGUAGGCGGUUUGUCGCGUCUGCUGUGAAAACUCAGGGCUUAACCCUGAGCUUGCAGUGGGUACGGGCAGACUAGAGUGCGGUAGGGGAGACUGGAAUUCCUGGUGUAGCGGUGGAAUGCGCAGAUAUCAGGAGGAACACCGGUGGCGAAGGCGGGUCUCUGGGCAGUAACUGACGCUGAGGAGCGAAAGCGUGGGGAGCGAACAGG
rnacentral:rRNA from 1 species